rnacentral:rRNA from 1 species
UACGAAGGGGGCUAGCGUUGCUCGGAAUGACUGGGCGUAAAGAGCUCGUAGGCGGGACCGUAAGUCCGAGAGGAAAUCUCAAGGCUCAACUUUGGGGCUUUCUUGGAUACUGCGGUUCUUGAGGAUGAGAGAGGUAAGUAGAAUUCCCGGUGUAGCGGUGAAAUGCGUAGAUAUCGGGAGGAAUACCAGUGGCGAAGGCGGCUUACUGGCUCAUUCCUGACGCUGAGGAGCGAAAGCGUGGGGAGCAAACGGG